rnacentral:rRNA from 1 species
CGGGACGCCACUACCGACGAUGCGUAGGGGUUCUGAGAGGAAGGUCCCCCACACUGGUACUGAGACACGGACCAGACUCCUACGGAAGGCAGCAG